ACCAGUGAAGUCAUAUACAAUUGAAAGGGGAAAGAAAAUGUUGUAAAUCUUCCAUCUUCAUUGUCCUUCCCUAUGUAUCAACACCAACCAAUUCCACUUCAAGCUUUUUUCUUGAACCCACCGAUAAGCAAGCAUGCAAUUGAGUAACUGACUAAAACAAAUUCAAGGUCAGCCAACUUAAACGAAAGGGGAGUUCUAUGUGGUGCGAUGAGAGAUCUUGGGAGAAGAAACAACUAUAUAUGUCAGAGCCGUAGACUACAUUGCUUACACACCAUUAUCGGGAAGUGAAGAUAGUGGAAGAAAAUAUUUUGUUGCAAUUAAUUGCUCUAGUUUUCUAGUAGAAACGAGAAAGGAGUAGCUUAGUUGGGCUGUAGAAUAUCUUUGUCAUAUACUCGUUUUGGUUGAAUCAAAGGAUCACAAUCAAUUUUCCUAUCACUUACGUGGGCUGGAUGGAUGAGGUAGACAAAGGAACAUUCCCAUUUCCAUCAUAACCCCAAACAUUAACUUUUAAUGGCAUAGGUUUAGUAUACCUUUGCAUUUUUUUUUCUAAUGGACUAUUUUUCCCAGAAGUUAUAUUCAAUAACUAGUGUCUAAA